UACGAAGGAUGCAAGCGUUAUCCGGAUUUAUUGGGUUUAAAGGGAGCGUAGGCGGUCUUAUAAGUCAGUGGUGAAAUCUUGUCGCUUAACGACAAACGUGCCAUUGAUACUGUAGGACUUGAGUACAGAUGCCGUUGGCGGAAUGUGUCAUGUAGCGGUGAAAUGCAUAGAUAUGACACAGAACACCGAUUGCGAAGGCAGCUGACGAAACUGUAACUGACGCUGAGGCUCGAAAGCGUGGGGAUCAAACAGG
rnacentral:rRNA from 1 species